GUCAGAGGGAGGAUGAGGAGGUGCUUGACGGUGAGGAUGAAGAGCAGAGGAGGAGCAGCAGAGAGGCAUUUCUGAAGAUCACAAUGCACUUCCUGAGGAGAAUGAAGCAGGAGGAGCUGGCUGACCAUCUGCAGAACAGAAAUUCUGCUGCAGGUGGUUAACUUAAACUCAAAUCUAAA